rnacentral:tRNA from 1 species
GAGGGUAUAGCUCAAGUGGUAGAGCGCAUGCCUAGCGUGUCUGAGGUCCUGGUUCGAUCCCCAGUACCUCCA